ACCAAGUGAGAGCUCUCUUCGAUUCUUCGCUAUCUAUCCAUCCGUCUCACUUUCACUUAACCCGAGGUUAGUGACUGUAACGUCGUGAAAUAAUGAGCUAAGCAGUUUUCAACAGUAUGUGGCCGGCUUAUACGUAGAG